rnacentral:miRNA from 1 species
CAAUUCUCAAAGGAGCCUCCC